CUGAUGCAGCGACGCCGCGUGAGGGAUGACGGCCUUCGGGUUGUAAACCUCUUUCAGUAGGGAAGAAGCGAAAGUGACGGUACCUGCAGAAGAAGCACCGGCUAACUACGUGCCAGCAGCCGCGGUAAUACGUAGGGUGCGAGCGUUAUCCGGAAUUAUUGGGCGUAAAGAGCUCGUAGGCGGUUUGUCGCGUCUGUCGUGAAAGUCCGGGGCUUAACCCCGGAUCUGCGGUGGGUACGGGCAGACUAGAGUGCAGUAGGGGAGACUGGAAUUCCUGGUGUAGCGGUGGAAUGCGCAGAUAUCAGGAGGAACACCGAUGGCGAAGGCAGGUCUCUGGGCUGUAACUGACGCUGAGGAGCGAAAGCAUGGGGAGCGAACAGGAUUAGAUACCCUGGUAGUCCAUGCCGUAAACGUUGGGCACUAGGUGUGGGGACCAUUCCACGGUUUCCGCGCCGCAGCUAACGCAUUAAGUGCCCCGCCUGGGGAGUACGGCCGCAAGGCUAAAACUCAAAGGAAUUGACGGGGGCCCGCACAAGCGGCGGAGCAUGCGGAUUAAUUCGAUGCAACGCGAAGAACCUUACCAAGGCUUGACAUGUUCUCGAUCGCCGUAGAGAUACGGUUUCCCCUUUGGGGCGGGAUCACAGGUGGUGCAUGG
rnacentral:rRNA from 2 species